AAGGCCCUGUGUGGUUUUCCUCUGGCGAAACUAAAUCCUAAAUGUGCAGGUGUGCUGGUUCAGACUGUGAUCACAAAAAAACAUUUCAUCUGCAUGUUAGCUACCUAUGUAGAUAACAGUACAGAGUUCUGCAGGUGAUCUGAGCUUUUGUGUUCUGUCCCAGUUUACAACCAUGCCGUGACCCACCUGAGCAUCUGGUGACAUAAACAAUCUAAAAUAGAAACUGCAGCCUGAGAUGGAAGAGAAUGUAAAGGCCAUAGAACUCAACUAACACUUUCAGGUUUUGCUUUGAAACUUCUGAGAGGAACAUAGACCUGAGCAACAGGACUGUCUGUCUGUCUGUCUGUCUGUUUGCAGCUCUGUCCUAAGGUUGUCUCUUUUUUAAACGGCAUUUUGGAGAGAAUGGCGAUGAUGACAGCAGUGCCUCAAAUCAACCAGAAGUUCACUACGCUGCCUAAUAUAAGCCUCGACUACUCUCUGAGCGGUGACAUCGCAGUGACGCCCCACAGCCUCGAUGUGCCUUUCAAAGGCAGGGUGUUCAGUCAGGAGGUUGCCAAUGAUGAUCCAAUAGAGGGACCUGCAGAUCCAGUCUUCAGAGAGACUAACCUAAUGGCUUAUAUAGGCGUCUCUGAGUUUUUCUUCAACAGUGCCGCCAGGUUUUUUAACAGAUCACAACCAUUUCGGCUUGACAUUCCACAGGUGAGAACAGCUGACAAGCACCUGACAGAGCCUUUACACCCCCCAAACCACCAUGAUCUGACAUGAUUCAACACAGACUCACUCGAGUCACACAGUCGGGGCUCUGGUCCUCUUCUGAGCGUUUCAGAUGGAUUCAGCGUUUAACAGAAAGGGGUUGACUUAAGUCCCUCUGUAGGUGCCUACAUGCAGGUUAAUGCAUACCGAGUGUUGAUCUCUGCAUUCACGUUCAUUCAUUCAUUCAUUCAUUCAUUCAUUCAUUCAUUCAUUCAUUCAUUCAUUCAGACAGAACAGCUAUAUACAUGGUUGCCCUUUGGUUCCUACUGAAGUGGUAAACGUUUACAAGGGCCUCACAAAUAUAACGUUUCAUUUUAAACUAGACGUACAGGCAGGUAUACUGGGGUCAACCAGACAGAG
rnacentral:lncRNA from 1 species